rnacentral:rRNA from 1 species
GAUGAACGCUGGCGGCGUGCCUAAUACAUGCAAGUCGAGCGAACAGACGAGGAGCUUGCUCCUCUGACGUUAGCGGCGGACGGGUGAGUAACACGUGGAUAACCUACCUAUAAGACUGGGAUCACUUCGGGAAACCGGAGCUAAUACCGGAUAAUAUAUUGAACCGCAUGGUUCAAUAGUGAAAGACGGUUUUGCUGUCACUUCUAGCUGGAUCCGCGCCGCAUUAGCUAGUUGGUAAGGUAACGGCUUACCAAGGCAACGAUGCGUAGCCGACCUGAGAGAGUGAUCGGCCACACUGGAACUGAGACACGGUCCAGACUCCUACGGGAGGCAGCAGUAGGGAAUCUUCCGCAAUGGGCGAAAGCCUGACGGAGCAACGCCGCGUGAGUGAUGAAGGUCUUCGGAUCGUAAAACUCUGUUAUUAGGGAAGAACAAAUGUGUAAGUAACUAUGCACGUCUUGACGGUACCUAAUCAGAAAGCCACGGCUAACUACGUG